CUGGUAGUGGGGGACAACGUUUCGAAAGGAACGCUAAUACCGCAUACGUCCUACGGGAGAAAGCAGGGGACCUUCGGGCCUUGCGCUAUCAGAUGAGCCUAGGUCGGAUUAGCUAGUUGGUGGGGUAAAGGCCUACCAAGGCGACGAUCCGUAACUGGUCUGAGAGGAUGAUCAGUCACACUGGAACUGAGACACGGUCCAGACUCCUACGGGAGGCAGCAGUGGGGAAUAUUGGACAAUGGGCGAAAGCCUGAUCCAGCCAUGCCGCGUGUGUGAAGAAGGUCUUCGGAUUGUAAAGCACUUUAAGUUGGGAGGAAGGGCAGUAAGUUAAUACCUUGCUGUUUUGACGUUACCAACAGAAUAAGCACCGGCUAACUUCGUGCAGCAGCCGCGGUAAUACUAAGGGUGCAAGGUUAAUCGGAAUUACUGGGCGUAAAGCGCGCGUAGGUGGUUUGGUAAGAUGGAUGUGAAAUCCCCGGGCUCAACCUGGGAACUGCAUCCAUAAC
rnacentral:rRNA from 1 species